UGGUUUAGAGCUUUCACACAGACUGGGUGCAUAGUAACUUUGAUGGACAAGGGAUAUGCCAAACGAACACUGGAGGUUCCGUACCCUUGCUGUGUCCAUUAUUAGUGCGAGCUGCAUCCACACGGAGGUUGGACUGCUUUACGCAGGUGUUCGGGAGUUUAUGUCAACAGUGUUGCCAUGACGGAGCAGUGAAGCCAUCCGAUGGGUGGAAGAAGGUGAUCAUAUUGGUAAUCCAAGGACCCGUGCUUAUUCCUGUGAUACCCAGAUUGAAGUGGUGGGUGAGUGUAAUGUAGACAGCCAAACUGUUGUAACCAAGCCUACUGAUGAUUUGUUAGAAUUGAAAGAAAGUUUUCGGAAACAACAAGCUCAAUUAGAUCUUUUAUUGAAACAUUUUGCUUUGACUACCACCCAAUCACCAACUACUACACCAGCCAUGAGUAGACCAGCUAGAACGUACCGUUAUGAUGCUGCUGGGAAACCUAUUUGUAACCGUUGUA